rnacentral:rRNA from 1 species
UACGAAGGGGGCUAGCGUUGUUCGGAUUUACUGGGCGUAAAGCGCACGUAGGCGGUUCGUUAAGUCGGGGGUGAAAUCCUGGAGCUCAACUCCAGAACUGCCUUCGAUACUGGCGAUCUUGAGUCCGGAAGAGGUGAGUGGAACUCCUAGUGUAGAGGUGGAAUUCGUAGAUAUCAGGAGGAACACCGGUGGCGAAGGCGGAUCUCUGGGCCAUUACUGACGCUGAGGAGCGAAAGCGUGGGGAGCGAACAGG